rnacentral:rRNA from 1 species
UACGUAGGGUGCAAGCGUUAAUCGGAAUUACUGGGCGUAAAGCGUGCGCAGGCGGUUAUGUAAGACAGGUGUGAAAUCCCAGGGCUUAACCUUGGAACUGCAUUUGUGACUGCAUAGCUAGAGUACGGUAGAGGGGGAUGGAAUUCCGCGUGUAGCAGUGAAAUGCGUAGAUAUGCGGAGGAACACCGAUGGCGAAGGCAAUCCCCUGGGCCUGCACUGACGCUCAUGCACGAAAGCGUGGGGAGCAAAC